rnacentral:rRNA from 1 species
AGUGAGGAAUAUUGCACAAUGGGGGGAACCCUGAUGCAGCAACGCCGCGUGGAGGAUGACGCAUUUCGGUGUGUAAACUCCUUUUAUAUGUCAAGAAAAUGACGGUAGCAUAUGAAUAAGCACCGGCUAACUCCGUGCCAGCAGCCGCGGUAAUACGGAGGGUGCAAGCGUUACUAGGAAUCACUGGGCGUAAAGGACGCGUAGGCGGGUUGGUAAGUCAGAUGUGAAAUCCUACAGCUUAACUGUAGAACUGCAUUUGAAACUACUAACCUAGAGUAUGGGAGGGGGAGAUGGAAUUAGUGGUGUAGGGGUAAAAUCCGUAGAUAUCACUAGGAAUACCGAAAGCGAAGGCGAUCUCCUGGAACAUUACUGACGCUAAGGCGUGAAAGCGUGGGGAGCAAACGGGAUUAGAUACCCCGGUAGUCCACGCCCUAAACGAUGUUCACUAGUCGUCGGGAUGCUAGUCAUCUCGGUGAUGCACUUAACAGAUUAAGUGAACCGCCUGGGGAGUACGGUCGCAAGAUUAAAACUCAAAGGAAUAGACGGGGACCCGCACAAGUGGUGGAGCAUGUGGUUUAAUUCGAAGAUACGCGAAGAACCUUACCUAGCCUUGACAUUGAUAGAAUACACCAGAGAUGGAGUAGUGCCUUUCGGGGAACUUGAAAACAGGUGCUGCACGGCUGUCGUCAGCUCGUGUCGUGAGAUGUUGGGUUAAGUCCCGCAACGAGCGCAACCCUCGUCCUUAGUUGCCAGCAGGUUAAGCUGGGCACUCUAAGGAGACUGCCUUCGUAAGGAGGAGGAAGGUGAGGACGACGUCAAGUCAUCAUGGCCCUUAUGGCUAGGGCUACACACGUGCUACAAUGGGGCGUACAGAGUGUUGCGAUACCGCGAGGUGGAGCUAAUCACUUAAAGCGUCUCUCAGUUCGGAUAGCAGUCUGCAACUCGACUGCUUGAAGCUGGAAUCACUAGUAAUCGUAGAUCAGCAAUGCUACGGUGAAUACGU